UACGUAGGGUGCAAGCGUUAAUCGGAAUUACUGGGCGUAAAGCGUGCGUAGGCGGUUGCGCAAGACAGGUGUGAAAUCCCCGGGCUUAACCUGGGAAUUGCACUUGUGACUGUGCGGCUGGAGUGCGGCAGAGGGGGAUGGAAUUCCGCGUGUAGCAGUGAAAUGCGUAGAUAUGCGGAGGAACACCGAUGGCGAAGGCAGUCCCCUGGGCCUGCACUGACGCUCAUGCACGAAAGCGUGGGGAGCGAACAGG
rnacentral:rRNA from 1 species